CCUAAAUUCAAAAUUUCCAUCUUGGUCGCCGCUUUCCCGAUCCUCGACGCCGAAACCAUCUCUUAAUCUCCAGUGAAUAAUGGAAAAUCAACGGUCAUUACCACCAGUGGAAGGCGAAGCAGAAGAAGCUACACUCAACAACAGCUCUCUAAUUAGCACUUUUUGUGAAAUCACUGCCACUUCUAAAUCGGAAGCCCAAUUUUACUUAGAAUCCCACAAUUUUGAUCUCAAAGCCACCAAUCCCUCCACCGUAGUCGCCACUGCUGCCGUGAAUGAUACUCAGCAACCUUGAUCGCCAACUCAGUCUGAGUCCUACUCUCCUUCACAGUCUCAAUCUCAGUCUUCGAGUCCUUCUCACUCUCGAUCACUAUCUCCUCUACCUCCUUGCCAUUCUCAGUAUAAUCUAAAGUCGUCGAAUUCGAAAAGCUCCAUCGGUGGUACCGGAGCUAGUGGGCGGAGAGGAGAAGUGAGACUAGGACGCUUGUUGAUCUCAAUCGGUAGCCGAGACGUGAUGAUGGGUCUGAUGACGACUCUGAUGAGCAUCAAGAGUAUUAUACCAGUGGAGAAAAAAAGUGGAAUGCUUGUUCAAGAUCCAUUCAAAGCAAAUGACAUUGAUGCAAUAUUCAAUCAAGCAAGGUAGGCCGAAGCUGUUGAUAGAGCUGUUGAGCACCUUCGGCCGUCUUCAAGUUCAAGAAGCUUUACAGGAACUGCAAGAUUACUUUCUGAUGAUGAUCCCUUGCCGAGAUUAGAUGAUCCAGCAAAUGCUUCCUUUUUGGAGGUACUGUUGGAAGUAAAAAGGAAGUUUGUAGGCUUUUUUUUUUCAGCCUCUCCAAAAACUUGGUCAUUUUCACCAUCAUAUACAUAUUAUCAAUAUGACCCUUUGGUGUGCCAUUCACUUGAUUUAACUAGUCCUCAAUGAUUUUCGUUGGGUGUACGAAAUGCUAAAGGUUCAGUAUUCUUAACAUUUCUCUACAGUUUGAUUGUCAAUUCUGUUGAGUUCAGAGUCUAAUUGCAUCUUGUAAUAAAAACUCAGACAUGGAACUGGACCAAAUUAUGCCAAUAUUAGUCUUGACUACUGCUUCUUGUUAUUAAUUGUUUAUGUCAAUGCAGAGCAUCGGGAGGUCUGAGUGCCCCAGGGAGUUGCAGCCAGCAAAUAAAGGCAUUGCAAUCCAUGUUAAUCUCAUAAGAAAGGAAGAAAACUACACUAUAUGUGCUUACUCCUCCAUCUUCCCAUUGUUGGUCUUCAACCUGUGCUACUACAAUUUCACAUUGAUUUUUCACUGCCUCUUCCUUGAUUCCCUCUUAUACUUUUUAACUGAAAUAAUUCUCCAGGUACCAGACAGGGGUCAUCUCCCAUUUCAGGGAGUUGGAAGAACCUUAGAUAGCAGCAGCAAUAUCACAUCCAUGGAGCCAACUGUUGUUGUCUCUUCGCUUAUUACUGCUCCAGCCCCAACCACAAGCCUAGUAGUUGAUCAAACACUACCUUCUAUGUCGAUUCAGCUAAAGUUGGCAGAUGGGACAUGAAAGGUAUCAUGUUUUAACUAUCACCACAUGAUAAGAGAUAUCCGCGGCUUCAUAGAAGCGUCAAGGCCUAGUGGAUCCGGGGCUUACCAACUUCAAACGGUUGGGUUUCCAUCGAAAUAGUUGACUGCUUUGGAUCAGACUAUUGAACAAGCUGGACUGGCAAACUCAGUUGUUAUCCAAAAACUUAAGAUUUAAAUUAGGCAGAUUAUACCAGUUACAUUGUGAAGCUGAAAUCUAUUUUACAUCAUUUGAUUUAUUAUUUUUUUGUAUACAUGGAAUUCAACUUAUGUUGCAUCAUAAUAUAUAGUUGCUUUCUUCGAUUA